AGUCUUCUGGGUUGCUGCCCCACUGUGCCUAUUGUGGAGGAGACAUCCAUGAUGCCAUACUGCUGCUGCCAGCUUGUAAAAGUCUUCCAAACUGGCUCAGAACCACUCACAGAAGAAAGGAUUAUGCUCUUGGUCCACUUUACCACAUCUCCCAGCAUGGAGGAGGCUUCUGAGUUGCCACCCUGUCGCUGCCAUAGUAGAGCAGUCUUCUGGGCCAUCAUAUGGGUGCUUCAAGCUCAUAGGACACUUCUGAACUGGAUCAGAAUUGCUCACAGUGAAAAGGAGGACACUUUUGGUCCACAGUACCACAGCUCUGAGCAAGGAGGAGGCUUCUGGGCUUUGGCUCCACUGCUCCUAUAAUGGAGGAGGCUUCUGGGCAUCUGAAGGUCCACUCCAAGUUCAUAGGAGACUUCCAAACUGGCACAUAAUGGCUCCCAGUGAAGAUGAGAAUCCUUUUGGUCCACUGUACCACAGUUCCCAGCGUGGAGGCUUCAAAGCUGCCACCCUGCCUCUCCCAUAGAGGAUGAGGCUUCCAGGCUACUGAACCACUGAUCCCAACUCAUAAGAGGCUUUUGAACAGGCAUAGAGCCACUUCCAGGGAGAGGAGGUUAUUUUCUGUCCACUGUACCACAGCUUCCAGAGUGAAGGAAGAGUCCAGGCUGACACCCCACCAAUCCCAUAGUAGAGGAGGCUUCUGGGACACCAUAUCCCCUCUUCCAGCUCAUAAGAGUAUCCAGAACUGGCUUAUAAUGGCUCACAGUGAAUGGAAGGAUGCUUUUUAUCCACUGUACCACAUCUCCCUGCAUGUAGGAGUCUUUCAGAAUGCCACCCCACUGCUUCCAUAGUGGAGGAGGCUUCUGUGACUCUGUACCGCAACUCCAUGCUCAUAGGAGGCUUCCAAACUGGCAUAGAAGCACUCCCAGCAAAGAUGAGAACACCUUCGGUCUGCUGUACCACAGCCCCCAAUGCAGAGGAGGCUUCUGGACUGCCUCCCCACCACUCCCAUAGUGGAGGUGGCUUCUGGGCUGAGUUACUGCCUCCCUCAGCUCAUCGAAUGCUUCUAAAUUGGCAUAGAACUGAUCCCAAAGAACAGAAGGAUGCUUUUGAUCCACCAUGCCAGAGCUCCUGGCAUGGAGGAG
rnacentral:lncRNA from 1 species